rnacentral:rRNA from 1 species
AAUCAACGCUGGCGGCGUGCCUCAGACAUGCAAGUCGAACGCGAAAGUCCCCUUCGGGGGACAAGUAGAGUGGCGCACGGGUGAGUAACACGUAGGUAAUCCACCUUCGGAUGGGGAAUAACAACCGGAAACGGUUGCUAACACCGCAUAAUGCAGCGGCACCUAAUGGUGACAGUUGUUAAAGCGGGGGAUCGAAAGACCUCGCGUCUGAAGAGGAGCCUGCGGCGGAUUAGCAGUUGGUAAGGUAACGGCUUACCAAGGCGACGAUCCGUAGCCGGCCUGAGAGGGGCGGUCGGCCACACUGACACUGACAUACGGGUCAGACUCCUACGGGAGGCAGCAGUCGGGAAUUUUGCGCAAUGGGCGAAAGCCUGACGCAGCAACGCCGCGUGGAGGAUGAAGGCC